GUGGGGAAUAUUGGACAAUGGGCGAAAGCCUGAUCCAGCCAUGCCGCGUGUGUGAAGAAGGCCUUUUGGUUGUAAAGCACUUUAAGCGAGGAGGAGGCUACCGAGAUUAAUACUCUUGGAUAGUGGACGUUACUCGCAGAAUAAGCACCGGCUAACUCUGUGCCAGCAGCCGCGGUAAGACAGAGGGUGCGAGCGUUAAUCGGAUUUACUGGGCGUAAAGCGUGAGUAGGCGGCUUUUUAAGUCGGAUGUGAAAUCCCUGAGCUUAACUUAGGAAUUGCAUUCGAUACUGGGAAGCUAGAGUAUGGGAGAGGAUGGUAGAAUUCCAGGUGUAGCGGUGAAAUGCGUAGAGAUCUGGAGGAAUACCGAUGGCGAAGGCAGCCAUCUGGCCUAAUACUGACGCUGAGGUACGAAAGCAUGGGGAGCAAACAGGAUUAGAUACCCGGGUAGUCC
rnacentral:rRNA from 1 species